rnacentral:rRNA from 1 species
CCUACGGGCGGCAGCAGUGGGGAAUAUUGGACAAUGGGGGGAACCCUGAUCCAGCCAUGCCGCGUGUGUGAAGAAGGCCCUCGGGUCGUAAAGCACUUUUAGUGAGGAAGAACGCCUGGUGGUUAAUACCCAUCAGGAAAGACAUCACUCACAGAAGAAGCACCGGCUAACUCCGUGCCAGCAGCCGCGGUAAUACGGAGGGUGCGAGCGUUAAUCGGAAUUACUGGGCGUAAAGCGCGCGUAGGUGGCUUGAUAAGCCGGUUGUGAAAGCCCCGGGCUCAACCUGGGAACGGCAUCCGGAACUGGGAAGCUAGAGUGCAGAAGAGGAAGGUAGAACUCCAGGUGUAGCGGUGGAAUGCGUAGAGAUCGGGAAGAACACCAGUGGCGAAGGCGGCCUUCUGGACUGAUACUGACACUGAGGUGCGAAAGCGUGGGUAGCAAACAGGAUUAGAUACCCUUGUAGUC